rnacentral:sRNA from 1 species
AACAGAGGAACGCAGACUAAGAACGCCACGUCCUUAUGUCUUCGUCUGCGCUAGUACAUUCUGUACG